rnacentral:lncRNA from 10 species
GUAAAACCUGGCAUAGUAUUUCAGGGGAUUUACAGAUCCCAAGAAGUGAAUCAGGGAACGCCUGUGGGCCUUGUGGUCCCCAAGUGAGAAAAGUCCAGCUGCAGGAGUGUCCACCUCCAAUUGGGGUGACAGGAGCUCUCUGUCCUGUCCAGAAUGGUGCUGGCCCUUUGUCUCAGUCUUUUUGUCUGUAAUAACAAAAUACCCAAGACUGGGUAAUUUGUAAAAAACAAAACAACAAGAACAACAAAACCAGGAAUUUAUUUCUCACAGCCUCUGAAGUCUGGGAAGUCCAAGCUCAAGGUGAAGCCUCCUCAGGUGGCAAAGAGCAGAAGCACAAAAGAGACCAAACUCCCUCCCUCAAGCUCUUUUACAAGAACACUGAGACAUUCACAAGUGCUGAGUCCUCAAACCUACUAACCUCCUGAAGGCUACACCUCAAAUACGGAUUGAAUUUUCGCAUGAGUUUUGAGGGACACCCAUUCAAAGCAUAGCACCCUUCGGCUUCAGAGAAGCUCCAGCCCUGUUGUCACCAAGCAGGUUCCCCCUAGGCAGAGCGCCAAGAAGCAGCCCAGGCGAUCCCAAGGCGCACAAGUGCUCUCACCAGGCUGCGCGCUGGCGGGUCGGUGCACAGGGACGGGGUCGCCGCCCACGCGCGCUUGGUUCAGGGAGCCCAGGCUGUCCCUACCCGCGGCUACAAAAGCUCGCCGAGUCUUCCUGUCCACCCAAUCGCCCCACAUGUCAGCGGUUGGUCGCCUCGCGGUGCAGUGCUGGGCACGCGAGCCCCUCCCGCAGUCAUUCUCAGCACAAGCACCAGCCUGGAGCCCCGCAGCGACAGAGCUGAGAGCCCCCAAGCCGCAGAGGUCGUGCGGAGCAGGUUGCAAAUGUCUUAGAAACACACUCCUGGACCACAGCUUCAAGAGACGCAAGCAGUCACCUCAUCUGCUGGUUUCCAAGCUGCCCUGCCAGAAGCAGGUCAGGGGUCCCACAGGGGUCCUCAGUAACUCCUCAAAAUCCUCUCCCAUCAAUGGCCCCACCAGAUCAUCCCUACUUUUGAAUGCUUGUCCAAUGCAGGUUCCAGAUUUGAUUAAGUGAAACAAAGCCCCAGCUGCUGGAGCAGAGGUUCCACUUGGGUUCCACAGACACCCACAGCCCAAAUCCCUGGAGGCCUAAGGCAAUAGCUAAUUGAGACUAUGCAUCACUAUUAAGGCAUCUUCACUAAAGGGCGCUGUGGAAACGCUGCCUGAGAUGCAGACACCUGUCAGAAGGGGGCUAAAUUUCAAACAAGGAACGUGGUGUUGCAUCACAAUAAAGUAGAUUCUAGUAUUACCUUCCUUUUUCAGAAGAGGAGACCAAUGGGGAGCAUUGGAAUGAUUUGGUUGCAAGCAUACUACACUACUUGUAAACUGCAGACACAGGCUUAAAAAAAGUGAAAAACUAACCAUGCAAUAAAGAAUGGAAUGAACCAUGAAGCUGUUUCUGUGGCCAGUCAUGUUUUUGAAGCAUAUCCCAUGCUAAUUUCUAGAACAGAAGAAACACACGUGUUCUUGUGUGUAAACCCAGUCCAUGGAAGAGACCGUCUGCUUGUCCCUCCUGAUCUCUGGGCCCAGACAACCAGUAGUCACCAUUCCAAGUGAGGGGUGGCUGCAACUCUACAGCCCCGUUCGUCUCUCCUCACUGUCAAAGCUGCUGAGACCCCAGACUCGACACUUGAAAGAAACCCAUGUCUGUGAAGCACUUGUGGACCAUUCAAGAUUGUGGAAGAAUCACUCAAGAGAAGGAGAUAGCAAUAUUUGCAGAUAUGCAAACUGGCCCCUUGCAUGCACAUCCUGGAGCACGUCCUGGAGCCUUUAGAGGAGACGGCUGCUGCUGUUCCAGUCUCUCCUUAGGCAGACUUGAGUUUCUACCCACUCUUCCCAAGCAGCCGCCCCUCCGCACCCGAGCGAGCCAAAGACCUGGCGGGCUGAGUACUCACUGCGCGCUGGACACAUGCUGAGCCGGCACUGCAGGGACACAGGGCGAGCCGCUGGAUGCAGACCUGUGGCCGCGGCAGUUGGGCUUAUCUUGCCCAUGAAGUUGCCUCUGAAGAACCAAGUCCAACUGUGUAUGCUGAGAGAUGUCUGGCUACUUCCUGAUUGACAGUUCUGGCAAGGUGGCAUUGGGCCCUGGCUUUUCCUCUGGAGGCAUCAUCACUUAUAGGAAAAUGUCCCCUGAAGUCCAAGGAUCAAAGCUGCUGGAACACUGAGAAGCUGAACAAAGGAGAACUGUUUCUCAUCAAACCCAGACUUCCAGACUUCCAAUAGGGUAGAAUGAGCAAGUCAGCAAAUCAUCUUCCUUGGAAACAGUGAUAAAACUAGAUGACAUUGUCAACAACAGCCAUUUCAGAAAUCUAGAAAAUGACCAAAGGCAAACAACAAACUGAGAAGCAUUUUUUUUUCCAUGAAAAAUCGCUCUAUUUCUGCAAAAAUAGUGGGAGUCUAUGGCUUCUCAUCCAGGGCUGUUUCUCUCCCCACCCCAGCUCAGUCAGUACAAAGGUUCUGGCAGCAUGAGGCAGACUGAACAGACCUGAAGUUUGAUUGCUGGAAGAAACUGACUCCAGGUUUGGCAGAGGGUGAGAAACCUACUCCCAGCCAUGUUGUCUGGUGACACAGUGACCUUAGGGACAAGUGAAUAGGGAAGGCCAGUGAUUCAUUAACCUGAGGUUGCAGUCCUGGUUGGGGAAAGCAUCAGAAUGGCAGAUAAGCUAGAAAUUUAGUAGGGAUAUGCUGGAAAUGAGACAACCCCAAAGGGGCUUGACCCCAAAGUUGUCCACACACCCCAGCUGCCUUCUGAGCAGAUGUAGGGAGAGACCAGAGAAGGCCUAGGCUAUCCACACAUCUCUGGCUAACCCAGGCUGUAAACCUGUGGAGGAGACACAAGAGGUGGAUUGAUUGCUAAUGGGCAUAUGGGGGAUCUUACUGGUUGAUAGGAACAUUCUCAAAUUGGAUUGUGGUGAUGCUUGCACAACUCUAAGUUUAUCCCAAAUUGCUAAAUUUUACACUAAAAAGGGGUGAACUUUAGGGUAUAUAAAUUAUACAUCAAUAAAGUUGUCAUAAAGCAUUCACAUUCUAAUAAAUGGCUCUAAGAAAUAUUGUUUUGAAAAUUUUCCUUUGGUAUAUUAUGGCACUCCAAAAUCAACUUCUGUCAGAACAAUAAUUAACUAUUUCUGAUUAUAGAUAUUGGUCAUCUACAAUGAUUUAUUCAGUCUUUUAUGUCCCGCAUAAGGGCUUAGAAUGCUUUAAAUUUCUAAGACCAUCAAUAGCCAGGACUCACCUGAAAACUAUAUAUAUUUUUAAAAAGACGUAUGCUCUGGGACACCAUAUGCUAACAUUUGUUGAGCACACAGUUUGCUACAGAGGUUAAGAGGUGUACUAUUUAAAUCUAACUUCCUCAAGGGGCUCACACUAUUACAAUAGUAAGCUAAAGAGAUAGAAGAAAAGUUUAUAUAUAAAAUCUCAGUACAGGGAUGGGGUUGGUAACAAAUAAGAUGCUGCCACUUACACUUGAUAAAUUAUAAAAUAUCUAUUGCAUUCAUUAUUGGAGGCUGACCCUUAUAAAAACCUUGUGGGUACUGCAAAAGACAGGGAAACCGAGGCUCAGAGUGGUUCAGCAACUUGUGUGAGGUCACAUACCUCAUGUCAAAGCUGAGAUUUAAAUGUGUGUGGCUAGGCUGGACAUGGUGGCUCACACCUGUAAUCCUAGCACCCUGGGAGGCUGAGGUGGAACACACUCCUUGUUUGUGUCCAGGAGUUCAAGACCAGCCUGGACAACAUAAUGAGACCUCAUCUCUACAAAAAAUAAAAAAUUAGCUGGGUGUGGGGCCACGCACCCCAAGGUUCUCAGGAGGCUGAGGCAGGAGGACUGCUUGAAAUCAGGAGGUUGAGCCUGCAGUGAGCUGUGAUCAUGCCACUGCACUCUGCCUGGGUGACAGAGUGAGACCCUGUCUCAAAAAAAUAAAAAUAAAAACAAAUAAAUGUGUGUGGCUGAUUCUCAUGCAAAUAUUGGUGAAGAUCUGGUAGUGAUGUAAAUUGGUAGAACCUCAGUGGGAGAUAACUUUGCAAUAGCUAUCAAAUGAAAACUGUGUAUAUUCUUUGUUUCAGGAAUUUCACUUCUAAGAUGUUUUUAAUAUAGCAGAAAUGGUUAUCCAUAAAGAAUUAGUUCAAUACAUUUUAUCUGUAAAAUGGAAUGCAAUGCGGCCAUUAAAAAGGAGGCAUAUCUGAGUAUACUAAUAUAGAAUGGUCUGCAAGAUAUAUUAACUUUUUUACAAAAGCUGUUCCCCACACUUCUUCGUGUUGUUUGAAAAGACGUGAAGGCUCAGACAGGCCUUCAUUGUGACUUGCCCAGGAUGAGUAGCAGGGCUGGAAUUCCUACUCAGGAGUCCAGAUUUAUAGGCUUCCUCUUUGCUUUAUCCUAUUUCAUAGCUGUCUCUGUUGCCAGAGCCAUGGAAGG